AACAACUUCACGCCACAGGUGGUUGUAAAUUUGCAAUUGAAUUGAACGCAAAAUCAAAAUUUGACUCACUUAAAAAUAAAAAGAAAAAGGUUCUCUCACUCUCCCUCCGGUCUACGUCGUUUCGUUCUCCAUCUCUCUUUUUUCUCUUUUGAGUUGGUUUGAUAAGAAUGUCUUCUUCCGGCUUAAGCGGAGAAGGAGGAGGAGGAGGAGGAGGAGGAGACACAGCAACGGCGGCUCAACCUCAACUGUUCUUCUGCCACCAAUGCGACCAUACGGUGACCUUAACCCCUUCACCUACCUCCGAUCUCACCUGCCCUACUUGCCAUGGUGGGUUUCUUGAAGAACUGGAAAACCCUAACCCUAAUCCUCAUCCUUUUUUCGCAAAUCCCUUUCUUUAUUCUUCUUCUUCUACUUCUGACCUUCCUGUACCAGGCGCGCUUCCCCUAUUAUUCUCCUCCUCCUCCUCCUCUUCUUCCGCCUCCCCAAUCUUCAAUGAUCUCUCCGCCUUCUUCGGAGCCCACCCUCACCCCCACGCCGGUUUUGCUCCAACUCGCUCAUCUCCCUCUCCCUCUCCCUCUCCCUUCGACGACCCUGAAGCUUUCAACCCCUUUGUUUUCCUUCAGAACUACCUCCAAAACCUAGGCGGCAACGUUGAGGUCGUCAUUAAUUCUGGAGGCGGUGACUCUCCCUUCCGUGCCGGUAUGGGUAUUGGCGGCUCCCCUAAUGUCAAUCUCGGCGACUAUUUCUUCGGCCCGGGACUCGAGCAGUUGAUCCAACAGCUGGCUGAGAACGACCCUAACCGAUACGGUACACCCCCGGCAUCCAAAUCGGCUGUCCAGACAUUGCCGGAUAUUAAGAUUUCUCAGGAUUUGUUGGCUUCGGAUUCAUCUCAGUGUGCCGUCUGCAAGGACUCCUUCGAGCUCCGCGAGGAGGCCAAGCAGAUGCCAUGUAAGCACAUUUACCAUGCUGACUGUAUUCUGCCUUGGUUGGAAUUGCAUAAUUCUUGUCCUGUGUGUCGGUAUGAGUUGCCCACCGAUGAUCCUGAUUACGAGCAGAGGAAUCGUGGUGUUGCCGCUGCCAGGCCGGUGUCUGCAGGUGCUGGCAAUCAGGCUCAGACUCAGACUGGUUCAACUUGGGGUGCUGCAGCAGGUGGGAAUAUUGGUGGUUCUGCUUCUGCUGCCACUGGCAUUGCUAGUGGAAUUCAGAAUCAGACUGGGAGCUCUGGAGAAAACCCACCAACCCCAAGGACUAUGGAGAGGAGAUUUAGGAUCUCAUUGCCCUUUCCAUGGCCAUUUGGUAGGACACCGGCGUCACCUGCAGAGACCAGCAAUAGUGGGAGUGGCACUGGCAACAACAGUGGAAGCAAUGAUGGGGAAGGGAACUCGGGAAAUAGAGGAAAUACCAACUUCCAAUCAGAGACCAGACAGGAAGAUCUUGAUUGAGGACCAAUGCAAAUGCUCUUGUUAGGUGGGUAAUGGGGAGCUAACGGAUUGAAGCACAGGUGGACAAAGUUUUAAACCAUGGGUAGGCAAAGUGCAAAUGGGUCAAACCACAGGUAUGAAGACUCGUCUGAAUCUGCAAGCAUUGAACAUAGAAAAGAUCUUACAUGUUAAUGAUUAGUGAGAGUUGCAUUUAAGUAUUUUGUCAUAAUAAUCAUAGGUAAAUGCCCAUCUCCAAUUUCAUGUUUUGAAUUCUUUAUAGAUUUCAUUAUUUUACGAGAAUUAUUGUGCAUUGUAAAAUUUUACCAUUUGGGGACCAAUCUAUACUUUUUGGAAUGUUAUUUUUCAUCAAACCCUUUUCAGUUGCA